rnacentral:rRNA from 1 species
AAUCAACGCUGGCGGCGUGCCUCAGACAUGCAAGUCGAACGAUUAAAGCUCUCUUCGGAGAGUGUAUAGAGUGGCGCACGGGUGAGUAACACGUAAGUAAUCUACCCUCGAGUGGGGAAUAACAACCGGAAACGGUUGCUAAUACCGCAUAAUGCAGCGGCACCGCAAGGUGACAGUUGUUAAAGAUUUAUCGCUUGAGGAGGAGCUUGCGGCAGAUUAGCUAGUUGGUAGGGUAACGGCUUACCAAGGCUACGAUCUGUAACCGGUCUAAGAGGACGGUCGGUCACACUGACACUGAAUAACGGGUCAGACUCCUACGGGAGGCAGCAGUCGGGAAUUUUGGGCAAUGGGCGAAAGCCUGACCCAGCAACGCCGCGUGAAGGAUGAAGUAUUUCGGUAUGUAAACUUCGAAGGAAUAGGAAGAAUUAAUGACGGUACUAUUUAUAAGGUCCGGCUAACUACGUGCCAGCAG